rnacentral:tRNA from 1 species
GGGGCAGUAGCUCAGCUGGGAGAGCACCACGUUCGCAACGUGGGGGUCGGCGGUUCGAGCCCGCUCUGCUCCACCA